AAAAACCCUAACCCUUAUUAUAGUUGUUUUGCACAACACUUUCAACAUGUAGUAGCAGCCACGGGAAGGAGAAAAAGUGAGAGAGAGAGGGAGAGAGAUUUCCAGCACCCUUGUGUCUCAACUCUCUAAGGGCACUAGUUGGACUUUUAUACUCUAUUCGAGGAUUAUAUUAUUUCGGUUUCAGUGAAAGAUUGAUCGAUCUAUGGUUAAAUGUCUGGGACCAGAGGGCGCAUCAACUUGCAUGGCAGACCCUCGUGAAGUCAAUGUGAAUGAUUAUCUUCAAGUGGUCCUCAUUGCUAUUGGGAGAGAUGUUGUGGCUGCUAACAAAUGAUGGGAAAAUCAAUGGAAAUGAUUUGAAAGCAGUAUAAUUACCAUAUCAGGGGACUUUGUUUAAUAAUUGUUUCAGGUCCUCCCAAAUUAUUCCCGUGAAUGAUCAGCACUUUUGCUGCUACAUUAAAUACAUUUAUUUUGAAUAUGAUUUUUUUUUUUUUUGAAUAUAAUUUUUUUUUUUUUUUUUUUUUUUU